rnacentral:tRNA from 1 species
AAAGGGAGACCUAAUUCAGGUAAAAGACGAAAAAAAAGUAGUCGCUACCAAGAAUCAAUCCCAAAAGGUCGGAGCGAGGCGAAAUUGGCUUUCAAACUAGGUUCUGGGUUCAAACAAGACCUGAAUCAGGAACAAGGGCUAUUAGCUCAGGUGGUUAGAGCGCACCCCUGAUAAGGGUGAGGUCCCUGGUUCGAGUCCAGGAUGGCCCACCUGCACAGGUGGUAAAAACAAGAGAAGCGAGGAAUCAGCACCUUAUCUUACUUACAUAGUAAGAGAGAAUGCUGGCUCUGAGUAAAGAGUCCAGAGGAACCUUGAAAACUGCAUAGAGCUAGGUGAAAAAGCCAAAAAAGAAGACCGCAAG